CUAUCAGCCCCUUCAUCGGGUGACCUUCUGCUGCGUUAGCACAGAACUACCUGAUCCAAGGCAAUCCUGGAGAUUGAAAAGCCAGAAUGCUGGUGAUUACAGGAGAAUUUCUCAUGUGUUUUCUGACCACAGUUGACAUGGACUGAAGAAAACUACAGGGAGCAAAACUUCAGAUGCUGCUGUAACAAAAUUCUGAGACCGGGU